CUCGGCAGUAUGUAAAUAACAUGCAAAUGAACGCGUUGCGUCACCUAGCAACGUUUAGGGGGCUUUAAAGCAGGAUUUUGCUUGUUUUACUCUUAAUAAUAUGGAAAAACAGCCUCUAACAGGCUUUAUGAACAGUUGUAGAGGUUAAAAAUGCAUGUAAAGUGUCCUAAAGUGGCAUAAAAUACCCAGUUUCAGAGUUUGAAAGUGUUAAUUCUCCCUGAAGCCGGUUAAACUUUGUGUAUUGGUGAAGAGAAGCUCAGGCUGUUUUAUUUGGUGGGAAAAGCGAACGAACUUCCCAAGCUGAAACUACACUUCCCAGAGUUCUGUGCGAGGGACGACUGCGGGGCGAGCACGCGGAGAGACCGACAGACAGACGCAGGGCUGUGUUUAUCCAACGAGGAAACUGUGAAGUGAUUAACUUCAGUCUGAGCUACUACAACUACUGAGCUGUAAAAAUCUAAAUAUACCACCGAUGCUGCAUUGAUGGAGAUGUACUUACACUGAUAAAAGAAGAGGUGUGUAUUACAGAUGAG
rnacentral:lncRNA from 1 species